GGUCCUGGGUGAUUUAAUUGGUAGACCAUUGUACUUGAAAUGCCUACCUUGUGGGUUCGAUUCCCACAAGGGACCA